UAACUACAAAGCGGUUCAUUAGCCGUUCCUGGUACUGGCGGGGGAAAAAGUUUACAUAAAAUUUACGAGCAGGGUCAUACCUGGCUGGGUUCAAUCAUAACACAUUGCUUUUCUAGCGAGAUAAUUAGCAGUUUUUCUCUCCCAUGGCCCCUGCCCUUGACACAAUCGGUAACUUUUUCCAGGCCGCAGUCCCUUCCCCCAACACAUUCAGUAAGUUUCUCAUGUUUCAUUUCCUCCCCCUAGCACAUUCCAUACUGGUC